GCUGACAAACUUUCUUGAGGAGUUGGAUGUCCUGCUGUCCUCCUUGCCAGAGGAUGGUAGGCCAAUUGUGGUUCUUGGUGAUUUCAACAUACACCAAGACAAGCCCCAGGCCACUGAAUUGAAUACUCUCCUGGCCUCAUUUGACUUGGAAAAACUACACACCACAGCAACUCACAGAUCGGGCAACCAGCUGGACCUCAUCUUUACACAUAACUGUACCAACUCAAAUAUUCUUGUUACUCCUUUGCAUGUCUCUGAUCACUACUUUGUUCAAUUCAACAUGACCCUCCCAUCUACAUUAAAACAGACUCCACCAUUGGUUUCCUUUCGCCGUAACCUCCGUUCCCUCUCACCUUCUCGCCUUUCCACUGCUGUCUCUACCUCUCUUCCUACACAAAAUGUAUUUACCAUGCUUAAUGUAAACACUGCCACAGACACACUAAGCUCUACUUUAACAACCUGUCUAGACAACAUCUGUCCUAUCUCCUCUAGGCCAGCACGUGCUACACCACCCAGCCUCUGGCUGUCUGACGUCCUUCGUGAACAUCGGACUGACCUCAGGGCAGCUGAGAGGAGAUGGCAGAAAUCUAAAGAUCCAUCAGAUCUAGAACAAGCUGCUGGAUGACAAUCAGUCAGGCUUUAAAAGUGGACACUCCACCGAGACUGCCCUGCUGUCUGCAGCCUUUGACACAGUCAACCAUCAGAUCUUACUCUUUACCCUCUCCUCGCUGGGCAUCACAGGAACUGUGCUUGACUGGUUUAAUUCCUAUCUCUCAGCCCAACGACACCACAGUGACUGCUCGAAUUUCUGCCUGCCUGGUGGACAUCUCGGUCUGAAUGAAAUAGCACCACCUGAAACUCAACCCAGCCAAGACUGAACUCCUUGUCUUUCCAGCCAACUCUGCUGUUGAACACAACAUCACUGUGCAGCUGGGUGCAACUACAGUAACGCCUUCCAAAUCGGUCAGAAAUCUAGGGGUAACCAUCGACAACAGACUAAAUUUCACAGACCACAUCUCAAAGACCGCAAGAUCAUGUAGAUUUACACUCUACAAUAUCAGGAAGAUAAGACCCUCCCUCUCUGAACAUGCCACACAACUGCUUGUCCUGUCACUUGUCAUAACUAGACUGGAUUACUGUAACACGCUCAUUGCAGGCCUCCCUGCAUGUGCAUUUAGACCCCUCCAAAUGAUCCAGAAUGCAGCAGCACGUCUGGUCUUUAAUGAACCAAAGAGAGCACAUGUUACACCACUCCUUGUCUCUCUCCACUGGCUGCCGGUUGAUGCACGUAUCAAAUUCAAGGCUCUGAUACUGGCAUACAGAACAGUCACUGGGUCUGCUCCAGCAUACCUAAAAUCAUUUAUGCAGAGCUACGCACCCACUAGAAGCCUGCGGUCGGCUAAGGAACGUCGCCUUGUUGUACCAACACAAAGAGGCACCAAAACACUUUCCCGGACUUUCGGCUUCAUCACACCACGUUGGUGGAACGACCUUCCCUACUCCAUCUGUGAAGCUGACUCACUCUCUGUCUUCAAAAAACGACUAAAAACACAUCUUUUCCAUGAGCACUUAACCAGUCAUUAAAAAAACUAAAAAUAAAAAUAAAAAUUCUGUUGCACUUUAUUCUGUUUUGAAUACUAUUAUGAUGCUAGUGAUACUUUGUAAUACAGCACUUUUCAUACCACUGUCUCCUAAGAUGAUUUGCUUAUGUUUUCCUCUUUUGUAAGUCACUUUGGAUAAAAGCGUCUGCCAAAUGAAUAAAUGUAAAUGUAUAUGUAAAUGUUAUUAAUUAAUGUAUUAAUUCAAUACAUUUAAUGUAUAGUAACAUUAAUACAGUUAAUAAUGACCAUAAAAUAAAAUA